AUUGAACGCUGGCGGCAGGCCUAACACAUGCAAGUCGAGCGAGCGGCGGACGGGUGUGUAAUGUAUGGGGACUGCCCGAUAGAGGGGGAUAACUACUGGAAACGGUGGCUAAUACCGCAUACUAUCGGAUAACCCAUAUGGGAUUAGCUAGUAGGUGGGAUAAAGGCUCACCUAGGCGACGAUCUCUAACUGGUCUGAGAGGAUGAUCAGCCACACUGGGACUGAGAAACGAGCCAGGCUCCAACGGGGGCAGCAGUUGGGAAUCUACAGAAAUGGACGAAAAACUGACGGAGUAACGCCGCGUGAGAGAUGACAGCCUUCGGGAUGUAAAGCUCUGUUAAACGGGACGCGGUACCGGAAUAGAAAGCCACGGCUAACUACGUGCCAGCAGCCGCGGUAAUUC
rnacentral:rRNA from 1 species